GUUUUUGUAGGUUUGUGAAAGAAGAGUGUAGGUAUCUAAAAAAUUCAGAAGAGAAUUUAAAUCUCCAAAUCACAGAUGAAAUUUGGGAAAAUCUUGAUAGUAGAAUGGAUGAUAGAAGAAUUUCGGGUUAUAGAAAUGAGGCAAGAGACUGCUGAAGAGGGAGAGGAAAUAAGGAGCAUAUUAAAAGUCAUUGCAACCACUGGAAAGUUCUGGUAUGCUACAAAUUUUGUUAUCAACCUAAUCCUUAUAUCUCAAUUCUCAAAGUCAACAACAUUUGUAUCUUUAUGAAUUUUAUGAUUAGUAUUAUUAAUUUGACAUAUGCGAACACUGCAGUCAUGAUUGGGAGAAACUGAGAAGCAUGUUGUCUCUUCAUUUAAAGCGAGCAUACCCAAUUUACAAACUUAAACAAGUUUUUGAUGCAACAUUGACUUGAAUGUGACAAGUUUUAUUAUCUUUAUACAGUUAUAUGAAUUGUUGCUACAGGUUAUUUCUGAGUAUCCACAAGCAAAAAUGACAAUAAUGGAACAAAAAGUUUCAUUAGGGGAGACGCAUGCUGAGUUGGUGAAAAGGUUGGAUGAUGAUGAUGGAAUAGCAGAAGAUGUAGAGGAGGUGGAGAAUGAUAAUUUAAGUAGUAAAUCUUUUGCUAGUGUUGAAGAUUUGGAGCAAGGAAAAUUACCCCCUGAAGAAAUUUUAUCACUUCCAAUGUUUAAGGUUAUGCUAACAAUUGGAGUAGGGUAAUGGCUAAUUGCUGAUAGAUUAGAAUGUUUCUACUCCUAAGGUCCUAUAGUACUUCAAGUACAUUACAACGAAGACUACAUUUGACUCAAGAGAAUCAUAUUCCAAUUGUUGGAGGUGUUAGCAGCCAAAGAUGCUAUUGCAGUGUUGCAACCCCUGAACCUGCUCGACUCAAAAGAUGCAAUUGCAAACAAGAUUAAGCGUUGUAAGACAGAUUCUUUUCCUGGGUUGGAGUUUGACAAUGGUGAUAGGCCUGAAUGCAAUAAUCUUCUUUCCAUAUACCAAAUCAUUACAAACAGGACAAAGGAGGAAGUUGCACAGGAAUGUCAAGACAUGAAUUAGGGCACUUUUAAACUUGUUCUUACUGAUGCUUUAAUUUAUCAUCUCCAUCCAAUCCAGACUCAGUAUGAGGAAAUCAUGUCAGAUAAAGGUUAUUGUGAUGAGGUUUUAGCAGAAGGUGUAAGCAAAGCUGCAGAGAUAGCAAAUUCUACUCUCAGUAAUGUGUAUCAGGCAAUGGGAUUUUUAAAGAGAUGAACAAACAAUAUAUCAUAAAUUGACCAAUUUUUUUUAGAGAUAGCAGAUUCAAGAAAUGGUUAACUUUCCAGAUUUGACCAUUGGUGGAGCCCACCAAUAUUAUCAAGGACCAUCCCAGGCUGCAAUAUUCCUGGCGUGAUCUUGUUUCAAAGGAUAAUAAUAAUGCUCUUACCAUGGUAAUCUAUAUAAUUGUCUUCCUAAUACAGAAGGAAGGUUUAUUGAUCAGGGGUGUUUCGCAAGAUAUUCAAUCACUCCAUUUUUCAGUGAUAAUCAGACAAUUGAUAUCACAAAUCUACUAAAAGAUGCACCAGUGUUCAAGGGGGCAGUCAACUACAUUAGGUUGGAUAUAAACAUAACUAUCUGGACAGUUAAAAGUUUUUAGAGAGUUGUACCAAUUCUGGAACUCUCAGUCUACCAACAUUAGAGUUUAAUUGGGUGAUUGAAGGUGAUUUUGGUUCUUGGAACGAGACUCAAGAUAUCAUAUUUUGGCAUGGCUAGAAGCUUCGGAGGAAACGAGACUCAAGCAAAAGUAAACACACAGAGAGUUGUUGGCACAUAGUAAGCUAGAUGAUGCAAUUGUAUAUAAAUGAGUUCAUUUUUUUAUAACAUUUACUCACUUUUGGAAUAAUUAUUUGUAUUUGACAUAUUAGUGAAAUGAAUUAUCUUUGUUA